UGGGGAAUAUUGCACAAUGGGGGAAACCCUGAUGCAGCGACGCCGCGUGGAGGAAGAAGGUCUUCGGAUUGUAAACUCCUGUUGUUGGGGAAGAUAAUGACGGUACCCAACAAGGAAGUGACGGCUAACUACGUGCCAGCAGCCGCGGUAAAACGUAGGUCACAAGCGUUGUCCGGAAUUACUGGGUGUAAAGGGAGCGCAGGGCGGGAAGACAAGUUGGAAGUGAAAUCUAUGGGCUCAACCCAUAAACUGCUUUCAAAACUGUUUUUCUUGAGUAGUGCAGAGGUAGGCGGAAUUCCCGGUGUAGCGGUGGAAUGCGUAGAUAUCGGGAGGAACACCAGUGGCGAAGGCGGCCUACUGGGCACCAACUGACGCUGAGGCUCGAAAGUGUGGGUAGCAAACAGGAUUAGAUACCCUAGU
rnacentral:rRNA from 1 species